rnacentral:rRNA from 1 species
UGGGGAAUUUUGGACAAUGGGGGCAACCCUGAUCCAGCAAUGCCGCGUGUGUGAAGAAGGCCUUCGGGUUGUAAAGCACUUUUGUCCGGAAAGAAAACGCCGUGGUUAAUACCCGUGGCGGAUGACGGUACCGGAAGAAUAAGCACCGGCUAACUACGUGCCAGCAGCCGCGGUAAUACGUAGGGUGCAAGCGUUAAUCGGAAUUACUGGGCGUAAAGCGUGCGCAGGCGGUCCGCUAAGACAGAUGUGAAAUCCCCGGGCUUAACCUGGGAACUGCAUUUGUGACUGGCGGGCUAGAGUAUGGCAGAGGGGGGUAGAAUUCCACGUGUAGCAGUGAAAUGCGUAGAGAUGUGGAGGAAUACCGAUGGCGAAGGCAGCCCCCUGGGCCAAUACUGACGCUCAUGCACGAAAGCGUGGGGAGCAAAACAGGAUUAGAUACCCUGGGUAGUCCACGCCCUAAACGAUGUCAACUAGGUU